rnacentral:rRNA from 1 species
GUGAAACCGCGAAAGGCUCAUUAAAUCAGUUAUGGUUCCUUAGAUGGUACGCACAGUUACUUGGAUAACUGUGGUAAUUCUAGAGCUAAUACAUGCAAAUAGAGUCCCGACCUUUCUUUGGAAGGGAUGCUUUUAUUAGAUCAAAACCAAUCGGGCUUCACGGCCUGUUUUUCUUGGUGACUCUGAAUAACUUUGAGCUGAUCGCACGGUCACGUACCGGCGACGCAUCUUUCAAAUGUCUGCCUUAUCAACUGUCGAUGGUAGGUUUUGCGCCUACCAUGGUUGUAACGGGUAACGGGGAAUCAGGGUUCGAUUCCGGAGAGGGAGCCUGAGAGACAGCUACCACAUCCAAGGAAGGCAGCAGGCGCGCAAAUUACCCACUCCCGGCACGGGGAGGUAUUGACGAAAAAUAACGAUGCA